rnacentral:rRNA from 1 species
AGAGUUUGAUCCUGGCUCAGGACGAACGCUGGCGGCGUGCCUAAUACAUGCAAGUAGAACGCUGAAGAGAGGAGCUUGCUCUUCUUGGAUGAGUUGCGAACGGGUGAGUAACGCGUAGGUAACCUGCCUUGUAGCGGGGGAUAACUAUUGGAAACGAUAGCUAAUACCGCAUAACAAUGGAUGACCCAUGUCAUUUAUUUGAAAGGGGCAAAUGCUCCACUACAAGAUGGACCUGCGUUGUAUUAGCUAGUAGGUGAGGUAACGGCUCACCUAGGCGACGUUACAUAGCCGACCUGAGAGGGUGAUCGGCCACACUGGGACUGAGACACGGCCCAGACUCCUACGGGAGGCAGCAGUAGGGAAUCUUCGGCAAUGGGGGCAACCCUGACCGAGCAACGCCGCGUGAGUGAAGAAGGUUUUCGGAUCGUAAAGCUCUGUUGUAAGUCAAGAACGAGUGUGAGAGUGGAAAGUUCACACUGUGACGGUAGCUUACCAGAAAGGGACGGCUAACUACGUGCCAGCAGCCGCGGUAAUACGUAGGACCCGAGCGUUGUCCGGAUUUAUUGGGCGUAAAGCGAGCGCAGGCGGUUUGAUAAGUCUGAAGUUAAAGGCUGUGGCUCAACCAUAGUUCGCUUUGGAAACUGUCAAACUUGAGUGCAGAAGGGGAGAGUGGAAUUCCAUGUGUAGCGGUGAAAUGCGUAGAUAUAUGGAGGAACACCGGUGGCGAAAGCGGCUCUCUGGUCUGUAACUGACGCUGAGGCUCGAAAGCGUGGGGAGCGAACAGGAUUAGAUACCCUGGUAGUCCACGCCGUAAACGAUGAGUGCUAGGUGUUGGAUCCUUUCCGGGAUUCAGUGCCGCAGCUAACGCAUUAAGCACUCCGCCUGGGGAGUACGACCGCAAGGUUGAAACUCAAAGGAAUUGACGGGGGCCCGCACAAGCGGUGGAGCAUGUGGUUUAAUUCGAAGCAACGCGAAGAACCUUACCAGGUCUUGACAUCCCGAUGCUAUUUCUAGAGAUAGAAAGUUACUUCGGUACAUCGGUGACAGGUGGUGCAUGGUUGUCGUCAGCUCGUGUCGUGAGAUGUUGGGUUAAGUCCCGCAACGAGCGCAACCCCUAUUGUUAGUUGCCAUCAUUCAGUUGGGCACUCUAGCGAGACUGCCGGUAAUAAACCGGAGGAAGGUGGGGAUGACGUCAAAUCAUCAUGCCCCUUAUGACCUGGGCUACACACGUGCUACAAUGGUUGGUACAACGAGUUGCGAGUCGGUGACGGCAAGCUAAUCUCUUAAAGCCAAUCUCAGUUCGGAUUGUAGGCUGCAACUCGCCUACAUGAAGUCGGAAUCGCUAGUAAUCGCGGAUCAGCACGCCGCGGUGAAUACGUUCCCGGGCCUUGUACACACCGCCCGUCACACCACGAGAGUUUGUAACACCCGAAGUCGGUGAGGUAACCUUUUGGAGCCAGCCGCCUAAGGUGGGAUAGAUGAUUGGGGUGAAGUCGUAACAAGGUA